AGAUAGAGGCGCGGCGUUCAUCAGUAAGCUCCUGCCGGGAAGCAGCUUUCGUGGGAGCUGAAAGGGAACAUCGCCGAAGUGGGAAAGCGUAGCUGCAUGUUUUCCUGCUGGGCCGUCGGAGAAGAUCCGUCGGACUGUCACGCGAGUGGAGCGCUAUCGA
rnacentral:ncRNA from 1 species